GAGAUGGGGCGAGGCGAGGUGGGGUGGGGUGUGGUGGGGCGAGGGUGGACGAGGCGGGGCGUGGUGGGCCAAGGCGGGGCGAGGCAGGGCGAGGCGAGGCUUGGUAGGCGAGACGGGUCAGGGCGGUGCGAGGGGAAGCGAGGUGGGGAAAGACGGGGUGAGACGAGGCAGGGCAAGGCGAGACAGGGCGAGGUUGGUCGAGGCGGGGCGGGGCAAGAGGAAGUGAGGCGGGGCGAGGUGAGGCAGGGCAAGGCGAGACAGGGCAAGGUUGGACAAGGCGGGGCGGGGCAAGGCGAGGCGGCGCAAGGCUAGGCGUGGCGGGGUGAGGCCAGGCAAGGCGGGGCGAGGCGAGUUGUGACAGGCGAAGUGUGGUUGGGUGAGGGGAAUCGAGGUGGAACGAGGUGAAGUGAGGAGGGGCAAGGCGAGGCGGGGUGGGGCGUGGCGAGGCGAGGCGAGGCAAGGCGAGGCGUGGCAGGCGAGG
rnacentral:lncRNA from 1 species